ensembl:lincRNA
CUAGUAUAGAGAAAGUCUGCUUUCUAAAUUUUGUUUCCCUGUUUCCUGGAAACAUUACACUGUGUUCUUACUUUUCACUUGGACUGCUCUUUCUUAUGUUUUUUUCCAUGUAAUAUCCACACGCGGCUCUCAUAUGACUCCACUCCUUCUUCUCAUUUUUAAACUACGAGCAUUCAUCCAGGCCUGCUGUUCACCUGAGUCUGGGGUAGGACUAGGCUGGAGGAGAGAGUUUCAGACGCAGGGCCCCAGAAGAAGGCACUCCGCACAGAGAUCUGAGAACGGUCACAGACAGAGCCCAAUCCACUGGGGUCAGGCGACUCGCGCACUGGUGUUACGGCCUCCUUCUCGCUCGACGGAUGUUAGUAAGCUGCGCCCAGCUCUGCGGGGGGCUGGGGAGCCAAACCGGACGGAGCAGAAUGUGCAGUGGAUUUGAGGGAGGAGGGUGAAGGAGGGGCGUUCCGAGGGCCGUGAGACACGGCGCGGACUGCGCAGCACCGUUACAGGCCUGGGUGAGACAGCGGCUGCCCAGAGACCAGGGCAGAGCAGGGAGGCCAGGAGCGUCUGGAUGGAAGUAAACUUUGGGUGAGACGGUCAAGUACACAAGACUCAAAGGUACAAAAGUGAGAGAAAAUCUUGGAAAUAAAACUGUACAAGUUCCAAGAAGAGGUAUACCGAAACUCAGGAACCCGCCGCUGUCAGCAGCAGAGAAGAGCGGCGCCGGGAAAGCUUUGGAAGUCAUUUAUUAACCAAACUAUGAACUUGACGUAGGUAUUACUAAGAGGAAAGUUGCCUCCUAACGGUAUGGCUUAUCCUUAACCACCCUCCACUGGGUUGCACCAAUAUUUCGUCUCUGGAGGCUGCAGAGCUCAUGGUUUCCGUGAGAGGCUGCCCGGACCAGACCCUCCCGGAGGAGAGCCAGGGCGGUGGGGUCAUCGCGGAGAUACCUGCGCGGUCUUCCAGGAGAAAGAGGUGGGUGCGCUCCCCUGGGACCCUGAAGUCAUUACUUGUGCGGUGCUGCAGCCUGAAACCAGAGGGCUGCUCUGGAGCCGGUGCUCCGUCACUGGACAGUCCUAGCCUGGACCUUCACCUCUUACAACCUCGCUGCACGAGUAACGCUUGAGUCUGAGAUGCGGACUUCUCUUUCACAAUCUGUGUGUUCCCAGAGCUCGACCUUAAGGCUGACACAUGAUGAGAACUUCGCCUGCAUUUGACAAAUGAAUUAAUUAAGAAAGAAUGAGAAAGUAAGUAGGCUUUUUUAAGUUCCUUUUUUGAUUCAAAAGUCAUAGGACUUUAUAGCCAAGAAAUUUUUCUUUUGUGAGAAUAUAGUAGAAUUUGUACUUAAAGACAUGCGCUUCUAUUCCCUGCAUAUAAUAAGAUUCUGGUGAACUCAACGAGGUUUUGUUCUGUACAUGCUACCUUUAAGUCACGCUGGAAAAAUUAAGACAGAAAGAGCAAUUUUUUAAAAACAAAGUUUGUGGUGAUGUUAAUAAAGAUCAGACAACAAAGACACUCAAAUAGCAAUUCUCAACUAUUAUCCUUCAACUCCAAAUUCUACCUUCUAUUUCAUAACAUUAGGAAAUUUUGAAAGUGAAAGCCACUAUGAAUAUUGAUUUCUUUUGGGUAAAAAAUUUUAAUUGAUAAAAUUCUGCGAAGAUUUUAUUCACUCACUGCAAGGUAGCACAUAUAUACUCCACAAAUUUAUUUUCAAUUUUAAGAAUGAUUCCUGUAGUAAAGGCACCAUUUUGAUAACAAAACUAAAAUAAAAGUGACACUCAUUACACUGUGUAGAAAAAUGUAAUUUUCAUUUUGUUCCCUUGCAAAAUUUUGAAGCAAUAAAU